GUUACAAUGGCAACCACAAAUUUACGUAACAGUUACCGCUUGGAGCCACCCUCCUACACCCCUGCGGUGCAAAGUCUAUGCCCCUUGGGUAAUCCCCUCGGGAUGUAGCAUAAGAUCCCUCGGGAUCUACGAUACUAGGGGGGCCCAGGCACCCAAGCACAAGCUGAAACAAAUAAAGAAAAAAGUUGUCUCAGUCCGGAUUGAUCUCUGAAAUUCGAGUUCAUGAAGUUGGAAUCGAGAGUAAUCGUUUAAAAGAUCGUUACGGUGAAAUUGGCAAUGAUACGCGUACUAACCGCCCGUCAGUUCCGAAAAGUUUGUUUAUAUGAAGAUCGUGACUCCACUACCUCUCGCUUCUCGGCCUCCUGCCCCCCGACACUAUGUCGGGAGGAGAGGGUGUCGUAGCGUAGCGUACUCGUCACUCACCACCAUG
rfam:Sphaeroforma arctica JP610 cont1.25769 mitochondrial, whole genome shotgun sequence.